AAUUCUCAACCCUUUGAGUUUGUUAAUCAGGCUCUUUGGCGUUGGACUUGGAGGUCUGUCGGCGCUAUGCGUCGACUCCUCUGGAAUGCAUUAGUGGGGGCUUGAGCCCGACCCAGUAGCGGUGUAAUAGUAUAUUACCACUGCGAACGCGUUGGACCUUUCCCUGCUUCUAACCGUCUGCAAGGACAAUCUCUUCAUU
rnacentral:misc_RNA from 1 species